UGUGUAGGCGGUUCUUUAAGUUUGGUGUGAAAUCUCCCGGCUCAACCGGGAGGGUGCGCCGAAUACUGAGGGACUAGAGUGUGGGAGAGGAAAGUGGAAUUCCUGGUGUAGCGGUGAAAUGCGUAGAUAUCAGGAGGAACACCGGUGGUGUAGGCGGCUUUCUGGACCAUAACUGACGCUGAGACACGAAAGCGUGGGUAGCAAACAGGAUUAGAUACCCUGGUAGUCCACGCCCUAAACGAUGCAUAUUUGGUGUGGGUCAUUCAGUUGAUCCGUGCCGGAGCUAACGCGUUAAAUAUGCCGCCUGGGGAGUACAGUCGCAAGGCUGAA
rnacentral:rRNA from 1 species